AUUGAACGCUGGCGGCAGGCCUAACACAUGCAAGUCGAGCGGAGCGGCGGACGGGUGAGUAAUGCCUAGGAAUCUGCCUGGUAGUGGGGGAUAACGUCAGGAAAAGGGCGCUAAUACCGCAUACUAUCAGAUGAGCCUAGGUCGGAUGAGCGAGUUGGUGGGGGAAAGGCCUACCAAGUCGACGAUCCGUAAGUGGUCUGAGAGGAUGAUCAGUCACACGUGAACUGAGACACGGUCCAGACUCCUACGGUAGGCAGCAGUGGGGAAUAUUGGACAAUGGGCGAAAGCCUGAUCCAGCCAUGCCGCGUGUGUGAAGAAGGUCUUCGGAUUGUAAAGCACUUUAAGUUGGGAGGCGUUACCAACAGAAUAAGCACCGGCUAACUUCGGGCCAGCAGCCGCGGUAAUUC
rnacentral:rRNA from 1 species